UCUCUCUCUCUCUCUCUCUUUAAGGUUGUCUAAACUCUCAUGUCUCUCUCGGAAACAGGAAUGGAGUUACUUGAGAGGAGGACUUACAACAUUGGACCGUGACUACGGAUUGAUCAACAACAUCCAUCACGACAUUGGAACUCAUGUGAUACAUCAUCUUUUCCCUCAGAUCCCACAUUAUCAUCUAGUAGAAGCAACAGAAGCAGCUAAACCAGUAUUAGGGAAGUAUUAUAGGGAGCCUGAUAAGUCUGGACCUUUGCCAUUGCAUUUACUGGGAAUCUUAGCAAAAAGUAUUAAAGAAGAUCAUUUUGUGAGCGAUGAAGGAGAUGUUGUAUACUAUGAAGCAGACCCUAAUCUCUAUGGACAGAUCAAGGUAACAUCAGAAUGAAAUGAAGCAUGCAAAGAGAGAAAGAGAGAGAAGCUGUCAGAUUUAUCUAUUUCUGACCAGCUGAUUUUUUUUGCUUAUUAAUGUCAAUUCAUUGUGUUACCAUUAUCUCUGAAUACAAUCAGAUGGAAACCCCAACUUUGUUUUCAAUACUUGAAGCAUAUAUAUAAGAUACAUUGUACUGUCAUUA